GCGAGUUUUCAACUCCCAACCCUUGCGAACCGUACCCCGUUCUGUUCUCGUUGCCUCUGGCGGGAGGGGGAGGGGGGCCGCCCUUCGGGGCGCGCCUCUCUUUCCCCCCCCGGUCCCCUCGGGGCGCCCGCCAGCGGCCGCGAGCCGCCCGAACUUUCUAUAACCGUAACCGACACGUCUGAGAAAAAAACAAAAACAGCCA
rnacentral:misc_RNA from 1 species